rnacentral:ribozyme from 1 species
AUUGCACUUGUUCGUGAGAAUAGGUGCAAUUGCCUAAAUGAAUGUCUUCAGAAGAUGACAAACCUGUGGGGCGUAAGUAGAAUGCAUAUCGUGUCUUUAUACCAUUGAAUACGGUAAUAGUGGAUAAAGUGCGAGAUAUCCGUAUUUGUGUUCUAUGAUCGUGCAGACGUUAAAAUCAGGU